GAGGCAGAGCCAGCAGGAAUUCCC
rnacentral:piRNA from 1 species